GGACUCGCAUCGCAAGCGGGGGAGGCACGCCACGCGAGGCGGGGACUGAGAGCCAGCCCCCCUUCCCCCCGGGCUUAGGACCCCCAUCGCGGUUCCUAAGAUCCUUAGGACCCACCUGGAGGACUGUGGGUAUGGGGUGUCCAAGAAGAAAGCUCAGAUCUGCCCACGGCAGGGGUCCGAACGCAGCCCGGGAUCAGGAAGAAAGCAGGUCGUUUGCAAUCUACCGGAGCCUAAGGGCAGAAGGCAGGGGUCCGAAUGCAGCCCGGGAUCACAAAGAAAGCAGGUCGUUUGCAAUCUACCAGAGCCUAAGGGCAGAAGGCAGGAUCGUGGGAACAAUAUCCCAUGGGGGUGUACCCUUUCUGCCAUAUAUGUAGUCACAUCACCCACUCCGCCUUGGAAUAUUAUUAAGGACCAUCUAACACGAGGGUGUAUACGUCCUGUGAUAUUGGGAGUAAUAUCAACUUCUCGGCCUCUGAAUAUGAGGAAGAAUAUCACAGGGAUAUUAAUAACAAUUUCACAGGCUGGGUGAACACAGCCGGCGAUGCUGAAAUUAUUAUCAUCCUCUCCCCCUCUUCCCCUCCUGGCUCUCAGUCCCCGCCUCACGGGUUAUGUAGCGGGUUAUGGCAAGAAGACAAACUGCAGUUUCCUGCACAGAACAGCACAAACAAUGAUCCAAGCUCAGUUACAACACAAUAUUGGUCAUCAUUUGACCAUGGACUUCAAUAUCAACCCUUAGAAACCUUCCUAAAACAGGUCAGCAAAACACCAAGAAGCAAUAUCCUGAAUGAUAGGAAAAUAUCCUUGCUUGUGCAAAUUGUUUCCACUUAAUUUUUUUCAACAAAUGUUAAUUAUAUUUUUACUUUCUAAAAAUUUUUAAUAAAAUAUAGCCUACUUGGUUAAAAAUGGUGUCAAAGCUUUUCUAAAAGUUAAGGCAUUACAUAAUUCAGUGGCCCCUGUGGCUGCCAUGGAUAAUUCUUUUUUUUCUGUUCAUCUUCAAAGAAGGGAAUUCAGAAUCAGGAAAAGAUCUUUGGAAAUUCAUUAGCAUAUGG
rnacentral:lncRNA from 10 species